rnacentral:rRNA from 1 species
AUACGAAGGGGGCUAGCGUUGCUCGGAAUGACUGGGCGUAAAGGGCGCGUAGGCGGAUUGAUUAGUUAGGCGUGAAAUUCCUGGGCUUAACCUGGGGGCUGCGCUUAAUACAGUCAGUCUAGAGUAUGGAAGAGGGUCGUGGAAUUCCCAGUGUAGAGGUGAAAUUCGUAGAUAUUGGGAAGAACACCGGUGGCGAAGGCGGCGACCUGGUCCAUUACUGACGCUGAGGCGCGAAAGCGUGGGGAGC